rnacentral:rRNA from 1 species
UACGAAGGGGGCUAGCGUUGCUCGGAAUCACUGGGCGUAAAGGGCGCGUAGGCGGCGUUUUAAGUCGGGGGUGAAAGCCUGUGGCUCAACCACAGAAUGGCCUUCGAUACUGGGACGCUUGAGUGUGGUAGAGGUUGGUGGAACUGCGAGUGUAGAGGUGAAAUUCGUAGAUAUUCGCAAGAACACCGGUGGCGAAGGCGGCCAACUGGACCAUUACUGACGCUGAGGCGCGAAAGCGUGGGGAGCAAACAGG